UGGGGAAUAUUGCACAAUGGAGGGAACUCUGAUGCAGCGACGCCGCGUGAGUGAUGAAGGAAUUCGUUUCGUAAAACUCUGUUCUAUGGGAAGAAAAGGACUGUACCUUAGGAGAAAGCUCCGGCUAAAUACGUGCCAGCAGCCGCGGUAAUACGUAUGGAGCGAGCGUUGUCCGGAAUUAUUGGGCGUAAAGGGUGCGCAGGCGGCUUUACAAGUUGGAUGUGAAAUAUUGUGGCUCAACCACAAACGUGCAUCCAAAACUGCAAAGCUUGAGUUAAGGAGAGGUAAGUGGAAUUCCUGGUGUAGCGGUGGAAUGCGUAGAUAUCAGGAGGAAUACCGGUGGCGAAGGCGACUUACUGGACUUAAACUGACGCUCAGGCACGAAAGCGUGGGGAGCAAACAGG
rnacentral:rRNA from 1 species